GACGAACGCUGGCGGCGUGCUUAACACAUGCAAGUCGAACGGAAAGGCCCCUUUGGGGGUACUUGAUUGGCGAGCGGGUGAGUAACACGUGAGUAACUUGCCCUUGAUUUCCGGAUAACUACAGGAAACUAGGGCUAACACCGGAUAGGAAUCAGUUCCGCAUGCUGGGGGUUGGAAAGCUUCGGUGGUUUUGGAUGGACUCGCGGCUUAUCAGCUUGUUGGUGGGGUAGUUGCUUACCAACGGUUUGACGGGUAGGCGGCCUGAGAGGGCGAGCGGCCACAUUGGGACUUGGAUACGGGCCAGACUCCUACGGGAGGCAGGAGGGGGGGAUAUUGCACAAUGGGCGGGAGCCUGAUGCAGCAACGCCGCGGGCGGGAUUACGGGCUUCGGGUUGUAAACCGCUUUCAGCAGGGGCGAAGCUUGUGGUGACGGUACCUGCUAAAGAAGCACCGGCUAACUACGUG
rnacentral:rRNA from 1 species